GACGGGGGGUCCUAGCGUUGUUCGGAAUUAUUGGGCGUAAAGCGUGCGCAGGUUGUUUAACAAGUUAGAUGUGAAAUCCUUGGGCUCAACCCAAGACGUGCAUUUAAAACUGUUAGACUUGAGUAUGGAAGAGGGUCGUGGAAUUCCAGGUGUAGUGGUGAAAUACGUAGAUAUCUGGAGGAACACCGGUGGCGAAGGCGGCGACCUGGUCCAAUACUGACACUCAUACACGAAAGCGUGGGGAUCAAACAGG
rnacentral:rRNA from 1 species